AUUUUAUCUCAAUAGUAACCACCCUUUCAUUUCAAUUCUAGCCACUUCUAUUCCAAUUUUGGCCAACUGAUUCCAAUUUUCAGACUUCCAAUUCCAAUUAAUCUCAACCAUCCAUCCUUUAGUUAAAGCCUAAGAUCAAUCCUAACCCUUCAUUCGAAUCAAUCCAAAGGUCCAGAUUCGAUCUCAUCUCUCCUAUUUUAAUCAAAAUACCCUCAAACCCUAAAGUUUUUCAUUAUCUUCAUCUCCUCUCUCUAGCGCCGCACUCAACUCUCCUCUUCAUUUUUUCCAGCGACAAUCACCACCACUUGCUGGUGGCAGCCGCCUCUCUCUCUAUCUCUUUCUCUCCCUUCCCCUCUCAUCCCUUCUUCUCCGUCUCCUUUUUCUCCUCGUCUGACCAGCAACCGGCGAGGACCACCUGGUGAAUCUGCCAGCGAAUGGCGAAGCUCCAAGUAAUCAGCAACAGCAACUGACGAGGAGAGCAACAACAGCUCCGACCAACAACAACCAGCGCGAGAGCCAGCUCCGACUCCGACGAGCUACUGGCGAAACAACAGCGCACCAGUAGCAACGACAACAACGAUCCAGCGAGACCCUCGCAUCUCCAUUCCUCUCAUCUCCGGCGAAGUUCGAGUUCAAAGACGGAUCUCAACAAAUCCGUCCUAGUAAGUUUUAAUGUAAAAGUUUUUUUUAGCAUUUCAUUACAUCUCUGGCUAUUAUGAGAUGAAUAUUCUGAGAAUUUGAGCUUUUUAUGUUCUGUUUGAUCUCGUUUCAUCAUUGUUACAUAUUCGAUCCUUUGUUUUGUUUAAAUGAUGUUCCAAUAAUCCUCUACGCGUGGUGUGUUGCUAAUAGCAUGAUGCUAAGGAUUCAUUCCCUCUUAGAAUUCAAAUAGAAGCAUUUCUAUAUGUUCAGAUUAUUGAUUUGAGUUUUUAAAAUCCAUAAAGAUUGUUAGUAUUGUAUUAUGUCUCUUUGAUCUGUUUUUCUUGUGUAAUUUGGAAUAGCCUGUAUUAUGCAUAAUUAGGAAAUUUUGGUUAUCUCUAAAUCAAUUUAAAUCAUUUCAUUUGCUCUAAUUAAUGAAAUUUGGUACCCUCUUAUUCAUGGUAACUUUAUAUUCUUAUUUUGGAAUAAUAAUAUGGAUAGCUUCAUACUUAAUGAAUCUUAUGAUUGACUAAUUUAGUUGAACAUGCCUAUGGAAAUUAUGAGCAUGGAUAUUUGUCUGUAAUUGCACCUUCCUUAUUUAGUUAUGUCUAUUUACCGUUGUAAAUUAUGCUCUUUACUUGUUUUAUAUUUUAAUUGAUUUUGUUUACCUUAACUAAAAGUGGGUAAGUUUCCUUGCUUGCUUUUAUAUUUGGUACAAAAUAAUUUAAAAUAAAUCUAAUUUGGCUCUCCUUUGAAAUAAGGAAAAAUAAUAUUAACUGACUCCUUAAUUUAUUUUUUCCCUUAUUUGUGCCCUCCCCUUCACUAAAUAAAUAGACCCCUGCUCUCAUUCUUCAGACUCAGUCAUUGAUGUUUACAUACUCUAACAAGAGCAUAAAAUACUCCCCACUCUAAAGAUUUAAAAUUGGGUGAACAUUCUAAGAGCUUCUCUACUUGAUUUUGUUGUGUUCGGGUCUAGUAUCGAAAUAAGUUUAGUCUUCAUUGCUGUUAAAUCUUUCUGCUUUAACUGGUUAGUUGUUCUUCCAUUAGUUUAAUUUCAUCUUGCAUUAUUAUUUUGUGUAUGUUUGAAAUAAUAAAGGAAGCAUCCGGGUCAGUUCCUUUCUUCCCUCUUUAUGUGUGACAUCAUACAUGGUGUGGUUCUUUACUUGUUUAAAUUCUUGUAUGUAUGCCCAUGAUUUAGCUUGUGUAUUGAGGAAACCUGCAAAUAGUUAAUAUUAUCAUAUAUAUAUAUACUUGUUUGUAUCUUUUGUUAUCCGCGAGCAGGUUUGAACACAAAGUUCAAGAUAUGGAGAGUCGCCAUGGGAGGGAAACAAUAGACAAGCGGAUUUCAUUUAAUUUACGUCUGUGUAUUAUUUAAUCUUUAUUAUUUUUCUGUAAUAAUCUGUAAACUCGAACUCCAUGGAUUUAUAUGAAAUACUUGGGGAAUCGUCUAAGGGGGAGGGGAUUACGUGCUAACUGUUUCUUCUUUUUUAGGCCUUAUUUUAUUAUGUGAUUGUUAUAGAUGAUUUGUAUAUCACUAAAAAAAAAAACAUACAGGCAUAUAGAAAUAUAUCCUAAUAAUUGGCUUAAAAUCAACCUUUGUUUAUAACUUUAUCUGAUUGAUCAAUCUUGCAUGAAUACGUGUUAAAAUAUGCUAUGAAUCGUGAACUUGUAGAAUCUUGUCUCACAUGCUAAUAUUAUUAAAUUUUGGAAAUUGACUAAACUAUUAGACAUCAUGCCUAUAGGUUUUUCUGAAUCUUAUUAUAAUUUUCAGCCUGUUCUAUUUAGAAAUCAUGAUCAUAAGGUUUAUUUUUCACUCUGCAUAUUAUUCGGGGUUUAGAAAAUCAUGCCUAUAGGUUUCGGAAUAUUAUUAUAACUUUAUAUAGAAAUUAUGUCUAUAAGUUUAAUAAAUUUCAACAUGUUCACUUAGAAACCAUGUCUAUAGGAUCUAACUAAUAAGACUAGUGUUAAUAAGAUUAAAUAAAAUUUCUUGUUAAAAUCUUACUCUAAUAAUUUUCAGCAUGUUCAAAAACUGAAAUAAAUUUGCUACAUAUUUUUUGUAAAUCAAAAUAAAUAUUAACUAUUUCUAGCAUGAAAAAAAAUUAACUUACAGAACUACUUUUUGCACUAUUAAUGCUGAAAUAUUUCCUGCAUGUUUAAGAGAAAUCAGUACAACAAUAUUUUGAUUAAAACCUGAGCUGUUUUAAAUUAACAGUUGUGAAUAAAUUCAGACCACUUAGAAAUCAUGCCUAUAGGUUGUAGACUUGAUUUUACUUAUUUAUAGUAUCAUGCCUAUAGGUGCUAUGCAAUAUUUUUCAAACACCUAGAGAUCAUGUUCAAGGUAUUAUUAAUUAAUCUCCAGCAUGCUAAUCACUGAAAUAAUAAUUUACUUCUGCCACUGUUUUCCAGCAUGUUAAAUAACCCAAAUUCUGUUAUGACUUUUCCGUCAUUAUCAAAGUACUGUGACAUUAUUAUAAUCUGCUACUAAAUAAAGCUAAUAAAUCAGCUCUUGCACGUUUUAAUUUUAAAAUCUGCCCUUGCAAAAUCAUGCCCGAAAUUAAUUAUUUUCCGCAUUCGAAUUGCCACUUAAAUUAAUUUCUGCACUAAUAAUACCAUAUGCUACUGUUCUAAAAAAUAUAUAUUUUCUGCAUUUGUUACUCGCUUGUCCUAAUUAAAAAUUAGCUACUGUCUUUCUACAUUUUAACAAAUUGACUGCCAUAUUAAAUUAAUCUUUGCAAUAAUAAUUAAAUUUGUUGUUGUUUUAAAAUAUUUUUGCAUGUGUGACCACUUUUCUGCUAUAUUUUAAAAUCAAUAAAUAAAAUAGGCUAUGUCAUAAAUUUCUGUCCUUUUAAAAUCAGUUGAUAAAUAAAAUCUGUUUUUCUGUAAUAAUUUUUGCCAAUCUCAAUUAAAUAAUUUCAUUGUUGUAAUGCUUGUGUAUACGCCACACACUUAGCAUGCGACCUUUUCACCUUACUUGUGUUUGCUAGCAUGUUAAUAAACUAAUCUAGAGGCCAACAUGAGAUUUACGUGCUAAAAUGCUCGUCUUAUUUGUUUGACUUGGUGUCUAGGUGGGCCUAAUUAGGAGCCUCUAUUUUUAUUUUAGUCUAAAACCUUCAUGUUAGCCGUCCAAUGCCUCUUGGACCUUAAGUGGGUACGGUAGGCACCUUUUAGAGACGAAAAUCAUGCGAUGGUGGGCUAGGGAUAGUCUAGGCCCUACGGAGAUGAUGACAUUGCCUCGAGCCGUAAAUGAUAAACAUUUGUUUUGUCUAUCUCCAUAUAGAAGUCGAGCGCUGAUCCGUAAAAUCCUUCAGAGUCUCCCUUUCCUUUUGUCUCUUUGUUUGUUUAUAAUUAUAAUUGUUUGGGGUAGCUUAAAUAAAAUAUAAAAAUUGUUUGCUUA
rnacentral:lncRNA from 1 species